AAAUAUAUUUAUCCCGGGCGCUGUUAAGAAAAAAACCUUGCCCUUUCAGUCGUGUCAACAAGCCCCAAACGCCGCGUUCAACUCGAGUUUAUUUGCAGACGCACGAUGCUCACUCUCUCACUCUCUUCUUCUUCUUCUUCCUUUUCGUAUUUACUUUAGUCCUCUCCUUGUCUCCCACCAUUCCGAAACUCUUUAAUCACAAACUUGCUGGGCUGGGCUCCGGUUUCCUGUUUCUUCUUCUUCUUCAAAUGCAUUUUCUAGAAUGUUCACAGAGUCUUGUUUACAUCAUCAGAAAAACUUUAUUUUUGUUUUGUUUUUAACAACUUUACCAAAGUUGGUCGAGGCUUGAUUAUUAUACAGAGGCGACAUUUCGAAUCGAAUGGCGCUAGAAGUUGAUUUCACAGUCUAGCGGUCAAAGAUCAUCAAAAUGCUCUAGACUUGUUUGUAUUUUCUCGUUAGAAACUUUUAAAAUCUAUUCGACGAUUUCAAAAGAAUUAUUUUCGAGUCAACUCUUGUGACAGUCUUGUGUUCUAGAAAAAGUAAUCGUAAUUUAAUUGCAAUUAGAUUAUGACUUCACAGACUGUUUUUAUUCGCCAGAGAAAUUCCAGCAGCAAAUAAUGUUGAUCCUAUCAAGUUGUGUAGAUCAUUUAUGAUUAGGAAAGUCGUAAUAAUGAAACGAUAAGAUUACAGCUGCGCAAAAGUAAAGGGCGUCAUUAAUAAUAAUGUCCGACGUGAAAAUAGAAGCGGCUAAUCCAUAUAGAAUGAGCAAUUGCAACGGUCGAUGGCUUCUGGCAACCAACCGCGCGGGGAACGCGAACAGGUCAGUUAAUAUCUGCACUGGGAGAAACCCAAAACUGGAUGUAAUAACUCGGCUGGAAUAUCAUCCGGAUGGCGAUACACACACCUAGAGUCUCUUGACCAACGAUUCUCAUAUCGUCGUUGACGUCAGAAAAUACAUGUACAGUUGGCUGAUCAUAAUACGCGCUGGACCCACCCAAAAAACGUCCACCUCCUCCUCAUUGUACAGGAUCCAUCUACCUCGCGAUCCGAUUGAUUCGCUUCUGAUCAUCGCAGUGCGGAAUUGGGCUUCUGUGACCUUCCACAUAUACCAGGUUGGUUUCAAUUAUUUUAGAAUUUGAAUUGCAAAUAUGCACCUGAGGGGCCUUGAUCAGUUUCAGGAUCAAAAGGAUCACCAAGUUUGCAGUUCAAAGGACUGAACCCGACCUUCAGCCAAAAUAAUUCAUCACCUAAUGAAUUUAUGGACGAACGUGCUCAGUGCACAAAGCUGCAGAUCUGCAAACGCCGCCAAGUUUAGCGAUUUCAUCAUCCACCGCCGAGGGGAAAUAACCGCGCCCUUUCCAACAGUUUCCACAGAAACGCGUUUCCAUAAAAAAGAACCUCCUCCGCAAUGAUUUUGCCAGUCUACAUGUUAAAUCAAUAACAGAUGAAAGAUCUACUAGCUCGCAUGAACUUUCCAGAUUUAUGGUUUAUUUUAAGUGCGUGGAUUGCUUGUGAAACGCUCUGGCCUAGCCCUGGGCGUCAUUCAUAAGUAUAGCCAACCAACUAAAAUCAUUUAAGCUAAAUGCAUUAAGUUUUUUUUUUUACUUUUGAAAAUGAUGACGCCACUAGUUGAGCUACUUUCCAGGUAAUAAUAAUCAUCUGAAGCGGAAAGUUGGAAUAAAGUAAUUAUUUUUUUGUCUGAAUUAAUAAUAAUCAUUUAAACGUUAACUAUAUACUUUUAUGACUUUGUAGAAAUGUACCCGGCGACUCCCACUGUCUCUUUACGAGUUUUACCACAAAGAACAUCACCGUCUGUUAGACGAGAAGUACUAGAGUGGGGGGGGGAGAAUAAAAAAGUUUAGAAAAUCGAUAAAAUGUGACUUUAUACGUUUCGUGAAACUUAUGUAAUGGCGGCUGGUAUAUUUUUUCCGUGAAUUUCAGCCGGCGUGUACGUAUAGCAUAACGUCAAGUUUAAAUUCAACAGUCCAUGUCGGGAAUGGAUUCAACAAAAGGAGGGUUCCCGUCGAGUGGCAGUGGCCAUCACGUUUCUUUUUAUCACGCUCAAUCAAGUGAAAAAAAAAAUUGUAAAAAAAUUGAA